UUCAAGGUUAUUUCAUUCGCACGGUUUGCAUGGCUGAGUUUUCAGGUCUGAUUUGGUACCAAAAGGAGACAGAAUAGAAACAGCACGCAGCAACACGGUAAAGGCAGGAGCAGAGUGAUGGGAGCAUCCAUCCUCAGCUCCACUCUCAUUUAAUGCCAAGGAGAGAGGAUCAAGGAAAAACUGGCUUCAAAGCAUGCAAAACACCUGGGAUAAAGGGAUAAUCUGCUUUCCUUGCCUGCAAGGACCAAGGCAAGGAAUACUCAGCUAUUCUGUUCAUGGCAACCUUACACAUCCAGCACAGACCAGUGUUAUGCCAAGGAUACAUCGUGGAGAGGAGCCACCUGUCACAGACAGAGCCCGAGUGCCAAACCUUUCAGCAACCAGCAGCACAUAUCCAUAUUAAACCCCUGUGUGGAAAGGCACCAGCUGCCAGCCCAUACCUUUUCCUGGUUUCGUUGGAUUGGGCAGUUUUGAUGGUGCUCCCAUCCUGGGUCGUUUCCCUCUCCUGGGAGGCAGGAGCAUCUCUGACUGGGAGUGGAAGGAUGACAGUCUCCUGAGUCACAGGUAAAACCUCAUCCUCUGCUCCCUGCUGGCCCAAGUGUUGCUUGGCAUAGUCAAAGCCUUGUACUGGCUGCAAAAAACAGGAGAAAUAACAGGAAUUUCCAGCAUGUAUUAGAUUUAGUAUAAAUUCUCAAAUUCAAUGUAAAAUUUUUCACUGCCCCUUAACGUUUUUAAUUACAUAAGUGACAGGUAAAAAUACAUAGAUUACAAUGUGAAUGCCCAACAGGAAACCAAUUUUCUGAUGAGAUCUCCAUUCCACACAUUUUAAACCUGAUUAAUUAGUAUAAAAUUGAUCUUGGCUAACCUUUCUUACCCUGCUCUAACACCCCCAGAAAUUACUUUGACAGACAGUGGGAGAACAAGAAUGUGGAAGGAAAAAUUAGGAGUAAAAAAAAAAUAAAACCAUACUGAAAACUUUAUUUCACAAAACCCUUGUGCUUCCAAAGAAGGUGGGAGUAAUUUAUUCCCAGUCAAGCCAAAGUAAAAAAGGCACACAUCAGAAAGUUUCAUGGGCAACAUUUUCCAGAAAAUAAUCUUUUUCAGAUCAGUGAAAUUAGAUUUCCCCUGGCUUGCCAGUUGCCUACUGGGAAGGAUAUUACUGACUUCACGUUUCUCUUGGGAAGUGGCAUUUCACCAGAGCCUUGCAGCAAGGCAGUUCCUGCCCAGCAGAACUAACACAUGCCUUCUGGGCAAAGCAGCCAAGGAAAGGUGGAUUCUCUCAAUGGAAAAAUUAAACAUUUUAGCAAAACUUGACUUUCCAAACUGCAUUUUCAAUUGGAAGGAAAAGAGAAGGGGGAAAAAAUGAAAAAAACCCCACCAACAAAAAACCCAACUCACAUUACCUGUUGAAAAAAAAAAAGAAAAAUAAAUCACUCAAAGAAAUUCAUUACCACCUCUGGAAAAUAUAUUCUUUCUACACUAAAUACAACUAACUUACCAAACACAGGAAACUUGUUCUUCCAGGGGUAAAAAGGC